GAUGAACGCUGGCGGCGUGCCUAAUACAUGCAAGUCGAGCGAACGGACGAGAAGCUUGCUUCUCUGAUGUUAGCGGCGGACGGGUGAGUAACACGUGGAUAACCUACCUAUAAGACUGGGAUAACUUCGGGAAACCGGAGCUAAUACCGGAUAAUAUUUUGAACCGCAUGGUUCAAAAGUGAAAGACGGUCUUGCUGUCACUGAUAGAUGGAUCCGCGCUACAUUAGCUAGUUGGUAAGGUAACGGCUUACCAAGGCAACGAUGCAUAGCCGACCUGAGAGGGUGAUCGGCCACACUGGAACUGAGACCCGGUCCAGACUCCUACGGGAGGCAGCAGUAGGGAAUCUUCCGCAAUGGGCGAAAGCCUGACGGAGCAACGCCGCGUGAGUGAUGAAGGUCUUCGGAUCGUAAAACUCUGUUAUUAGGGAAGAACAUAUGUGUAAGUAACUGUGCACAUCUUGACGGUACCUAAUCAGAAAGCCACGGCUAACUACGUG
rnacentral:rRNA from 1 species